rnacentral:rRNA from 1 species
GACGAACGCUGGCGGCGUGCUUAACACAUGCAAGUCGAACGGAAAGGCCCUGCUUUUGUGGGGUGCUCGAGUGGCGAACGGGUGAGUAACACGUGAGUAACCUGCCCUUGACUUUGGGAUAACUUCAGGAAACUGGGGCUAAUACCGGAUAGGAGCUCCUGCUGCAUGGUGGGGGUUGGAAGGUUUCGGCGGUUGGGGAUGGACUCGCGGCUUAUCAGCUUGUUGGUGGGGUAGUGGCUUGCCAAGGCUUUGACGGGUAGCCGGCCUGAGAGGGUGACCGGCCACAUUGGGACUGAGAUACGGCCCAGACUCCUACGGGAGGCAGCAGUGGGGAAUAUUGCACAAUGGGCGGAAGCCUGAUGCAGCAACGCCGCGUGCGGGAUGACGGCCUUCGGGUUGUAAACCGCUUUCGCCUGUGACGAAGCGUGAGUGACGGUAAUGGGUAAAGAAGCACCGGCUAACUACGUG